rnacentral:rRNA from 1 species
ACGCUGUAAACGAUGUCGACUUGGAGGUUGUGCCCUNGAGGCGUGGCUUCCGGAGCUAACGCGUUAAGUCGACCGCCUGGGGAGUACGGCCGCAAGGUUAAAACUCAAAUGAAUUGACGGGGGCCCGCACAAGCGGUGGAGCAUGUGGUUUAAUUCGAUGCAACGCGAAGAACCUUACCUACUCUUGACAUCCAGAGAAUUCGCUAGAGAUAGCUUAGUGCCUUCGGGAACUCUGAGACAGGUGCUGCAUGGCUGUCGUCAGCUCGUGUUGUGAAAUGUUGGGUUAAGUCCCGCAACGAGCGCAACCCUUAUCCUUUGUUGCCAGCACGUAAUGGUGGGAACUCAAAGGAGACUGCCGGUGAUAAACCGGAGGAAGGUGGGGAUGACGUCAAGUCAUCAUGGCCCUUACGAGUAGGGCUACACACGUGCUACAAUGGCAUAUACAAAGAGAAGCAAACUCGCGAGAGCAAGCGGACCUCAUAAAGUAUGUCGUAGUCCGGAUUGGAGUCUGCAACUCGACUCCAUGAAGUCGGAAUCGCUAGUAAUCGUAGAUCAGAAUGCUACGGUGAAUACGUUCCCGGGCCUUGUACACACCGCCCGUCACACCAUGGGAGUGGGUUGCAAAAGAAGUAGGUAGCUUAACCUUCGGGAGGGC